rnacentral:rRNA from 1 species
UACGUAGGGUGCAAGCGUUAAUCGGAAUUACUGGGCGUAAAGCGUGCGCAGGCGGUCCGUUAAGACAGAUGUGAAAUCCCCGGGCUUAACCUGGGAACUGCAUUUGUGACUGGCGGACUCGAGUAUGGCAGAGGGGGUAGAAUUCCACGUGUAGCAGUGAAAUGCGGUAGAGAUGUGGAGGAAUACCGAUGGCGAAGGCAGCCCCCCUGGGCCAAUACUGACGC